rnacentral:tRNA from 1 species
CGGGAAGUAGCUCAGCUUGGUAGAGCACAUGGUUUGGGACCAUGGGGUCACAGGUUCGAAUCCUGUCUUCCCGA